UACGAAGGGUGCAAGCGUUACUCGGAAUUACUGGGCGUAAAGCGUGCGUAGGCGGUUCGUUAAGUCCGUUGUGAAAGCCCUGGGCUCAACCUGGGAAUGGCAGUGGAUACUGGCGAGCUAGAGUGUGAUAGAGGAUGGUGGAAUUCCCGGUGUAGCGGUGAAAUGCGUAGAGAUCGGGAGGAACACCAGUGGCGAAGGCGGCCAUCUGGAUCAACACUGACGCUGAGGCACGAAAGCGUGGGGAG
rnacentral:rRNA from 1 species